rnacentral:tRNA from 1 species
GGGUCGAUAGAUCAGCGGUAGAUCGCUUGCUUUGCAAGCAAGAAGUCGUGGGUUCAAAUCCCACUCGAUCCACCA